GACGAACGCUGGCGGCGUGCUUAAUACAUGCAAGUCGACCGAAGCAAUGAUAGCAUUGUCCCUGUGGCGGUAGCGCCCGAGGGAGUAACACCAAGUUAAUCAGCCAUCAGGACUGGCGUAACUCCGGGAAAACAGCGCUAAUAACAGAUGAUACAGCAUCUCGACAUAGAGACAGUUAGUAAAGGAAUGUCGUCUGAUGAUGUGCCUAUGUGUGAUUAGCUAGUUAGCUGGGUAACGGCGCACCAAGGCAACGAUCAGUAGCUGGUCUGGGAGGAUGAUCAGGCACACUGGAACUGAGACACGGUCCAGAGGCCGACGGCAGUCAGCAGUAUGGAAUAUUGCUCGAAGGGAGAAAGCCUGAAGCAGCAACGAGGCAUGAGGGACUAAGGGCUUUAGCUUGUAGACCUCUGUGGUGAGAGAAAAAAAUCCCAAUCUUUGGGGCAUGAUGGUAUCUCAAAAGUAAGCCCCGGCUAACUACGUUC
rnacentral:rRNA from 1 species